rnacentral:lncRNA from 1 species
GUUUCGUUCUCUGGCUGGUGCGAUCUCGGCGGUCCGCGGCAGGUCGGUCGCGAAAGCGGACGCUGCAGGGGGGCGAGGCUAUGUCGCGGCUGCAGCCCGUAUGGGCCGGCAGGGCCUGGAGUAACGGGACGUCGCCGCGAAGCUUCUUCCCCCGGAUACAGUGCGGCCCUAGUGGAGGCCGCGGCGCCGCCCUCCAGUCCUGAAGAACCCGCGCUGCGCAGAGCCCGCGCCGCCGUCACCUCGGCACCGACACUAAGCAACCCAGCUAGCUUGGCUUGAUCUAGCCCAUUUUUGGCAGGUAGCGCUGCACUAGUCCCACUGGCACAAGAAGCUCCCUUCCCAAAGGACAUGAAGCUAUUGGAGAACUCCAGCUUUGAGGCCAUCAACUCACAGUUGACAGUGGAGACUGGAGAUGCCCAUAUUAUUGGCAGGUGAGGCCGGCGGCUCUGGGGAUGUCUCUGAGGUUACUGUUUGGUCCCUGAGUUAAAGCAUCCGGGUGGGUUAGCAUGUUUCAUGGCCCUGCCUGCGUCUUUUAGGAUCGAAAGCUAUUCCUGUAAGAUGGCAGGCGACGAUAA